GCGAGCGGCGGGCGACGGCUCCGGCUGCAAAGCGUCCGCCCAGCGCCGGUCCUCCGCGGAGAAGGUGCUCUUCGCUCCCAGGAUCUGCUCCUCGUUUUGGAGCUCAGGCUGAGCGAGCCUGGAAAAUCCGGGGAGGGAAAAUGGAAGGGACCUGAUGUGCGUAAAUGCUUUGGCACAGUUGCAGGACGUCAUGCAAGCGUCUGGUUGCUUCGUAGCCAAAAAGCGUCUGUUACGAGGUCAGCACAUCCACCAAAUAAUAACAUUUUGAUCUGCAGGCCUUUCUUCACGUCACUUCUGACUUUUAUUCGCCCAUAAACCCGGUCACGGCGGGCAGGAGCCGCGGCUGCGGGAGCCGGGGGUCUCCAGGACCGCGGCGCAGCGUGGAGCCGUGCCCGGAGCCCGGCGCAGCCCCGGGAACGCUCUCGGAGGGCGCCUGGAAAGGCUCCCGCCGCACGGCACCUCGGGCCGGUCCGAAACGCCCUGCCGCAAAUACUGCCUCGUGCAAAGAGCAGCGUCACAGGGACGUCUUCGCACGCUUCGGUGCCAACCUACGUUUGGUGCUGCUCACUCGCAGACAAACGCGCAUCGCAGGAGCGGUUCUCCAGUCCUCAGCUCGUCUCCUGGUUUCGAACACACUGCCGAACACGGCGCUGCACAGCGUGAUUCAGUGAGCCUUGUUUUCGUUAAAAUCUAUCGUAGCAGAACUGCCACCCUAGUUUUAAGAUGGCAUAUAAUUCUUUUGUGACAGCGUUAUUCUGAGAAGCUGAGGGUAUACAGGUCCAAAUUAGAAAUUAUGUUAAUUGGCUUUAUAGCCCUAGAUGGAAAAUGUCACUAUGACUGAGUCAAUACUGAGGACACACGGAGAAUUAAAGAUAAAUAACCUGGUAAGCGUGUUAUGGCCAUACUAAAGCAAUCGUUAGAAACCCAGAGAAGCCAAUUAAACCUAAAAGCUAAAAAGAAAAUUGAAACUAUGGAAACAACUAGGGUAUAUCCUGAGAUUUCCUCGCCUGAUCCCAUUCCCGCAGCUGCUGUUCCAGUUUGUGAGGAGUCCCAGAUAAAUGUCUUUCAGCAAACGCUCUAGGAUUGGAAACGGUUAAACCACAACAUCCCUAAAUCACAAAUGCCUGAGGAAUGAAGUCUGCAAGAUGUCGACAGACCGAAUAUUAAGGUCAUUUUUUCCUAAUAGCAGGAAAAAAACAGCUUCAACGUUUCACCUUUCGGAGUCGGCUGACGCCGUCCCGCUCCUCUUUCCGGCAGCGGUUGCGCAAGCCGAGGGAUGCCGCUGCCCCGGGGAGGAGACGGCACGGAGCCCCGGCCCCAGCCCGGCCUGCGGGGCCCCGGCCACCGGGCAACGCGGGGGGACGAGGUGGCACGAGGACCGGGCCACCCAUGCCCGGCCUCCCCGAGCAGCGCGCGGGCUGCUUCUCCCCUGCCGUGUUCAGAACCGGGGGGAAGAAAGGUUGGACAACUUCGAGGUAGAGCUUCAAAUAAGCGGAGGGGCACAAGGCUUAGGGGUGAUCUUGUUUUAAGGUUCUCCAGCGUUAGAAGAUGCAAUUCCUCACUGUUGCGUAGGACAGUGCAGGCUGAAAAGCCCUUUCUGUUCUUUGCACGGGGCUCCCGGAGGCAGAGGCUCGCCCUGCGCUCCGUCCGGGUGCAGAGACCCAGCUCCAUCCUCACGCCAAGGGACAGCCAAGCAUUUCGUUUCGGGUGCACAGACCCAUCUCCAUCCUCACGCCAAGGGACAUCCAAGCAUCUCAUUUUGGGUGCAGAGACCCAGCUCCACCCCUACGCCAAGGGACGUGACAGCAUCUCGAUUCAGGGGCACAGACCCAGCUCCGUCCCUACACCAAGGGACUUGCUGGUGUCUCCAUUCAGAUGCAGAGACCCAGCUCCAUCCUUGCACCAAGUGAUGUGCCAGCGUGCUCGCUCCAGGUGCAGAGACCCAUCUCCAUCCUCAUGCCAAGGGACUUGCUGGUGUCUGCAUUCAGCUGCAGAGACCCGUCUCCAUCGCUACGCUGAGGGACGUGCCAGUGUCCCGCCUCAGGUGCAGGGACACCUCUCCAUCCCCCGUUCAGCUUAUGGGCCGCAGGGACCGGACGGGCAGAGCGGUGGAAGGAGAAGAUGGAUGUGCUUUAGUGGACGACCAGCACCCAGGCCUUACCCGUGCCCUGGUCCCUCAGCCCGGGCGUCGUGCGGGCGCUUUGCAACGCAGCCGGCGUGCCCGGCACCGGAGCCGGCUGUAGGGGACUGUCCCCUCCAGGACGUGCCCUUAUCUCCGGCUUUCCUGAAGGAAAAGGAGGUUCUCCAUGCUAUGGGCGGUUUCUUGCUUGGAAACGGCCAAGGAAGAAGCUGUCGGUGGCCCGUCCUGGGCGGGUGGCCACCAGCCCCGUGUGUGGUGUCAGCAUCAGGAUGGCUUGGGAAGAUGCUUUUUUUCCCCCCCCUCUGGUGACUUUCAGCCCUUCUGGGUGCUGCAGGCGCUCCGCUUUACCGGCAUCCCUCCGCCUUUCCCGGCCCAGCGCCCCGGGAAUACCCAGCUGCGUGCAGAUUAAAAGAAAAAACCAUGGAUCCGCAGGGGCCCUGGGAUUUUUAACCCUGCUGUUCUCCAGCGUUUAACGUCUGCCCCCCCCUCGCUGGGGAAGGGACCUGGCCGCGCGUGCGGGGAGGCCGGUCGGCGAGGGGAGCGCUGGGGCGGGCUGCGCCGCGGCUCCGGCACCGUCCCACAUUCCUUGCUAAUUUUAGACGGCUCCCCGGAGAAGCACGGCUUGGAUUUGUUCCUCUUGCCCUUCCGAAGAGUUUGGUUCACGCGUCCCGGGACAGAAGCAGCAGCAGAGCGGGACUGGCAGCCGGGUCCCUGGAGACGGGGCUCCGCAGCCCAGGGCACCCGGGGAGCAGCACGCGGCCGGGACCGGCGGCUGCAAACGCCGGGGCAGCCCGGGGGGCCGUUGCCUCUGUUCCCACCCCGAGAAAUUUGGGGGAGCGAAGCAGGCUCAGCUCUCCCUCCGGUGCAGCCGGCCUCUCUUGGGAAGGGCCUGGCCGCGUCGGACGGACGGCAGAGGGGCAGGGAAGCAACGCUCGGCUGCGCGAAAUGCCCACCACGUCCUCACGCGACGCAGGAAAACCCCCAAAAGCAACCGUGACUCUGAGGCAUGCAGCACAAACUCGUCGUCCUGCGCCCUGCACGUGGGACGGGGCACCGUCCUGCAAGGGGGGUAUCGGGGAGCUGCAGCGAGGCCGUGGGACGGGAAGGGGAUGACCAGCAAUCACAGCCCACGAGGAGAACUGGGAGACGGAGAGCGUUUGUUUCGUCGAAAUAAACCCCGGGAGAACUAGCCAGUGCCAGGAUUAGUGGAGCCCUGGGACUGACUUUCCGGGAUUUGGCGUCUGUAUCCUCAGAGGUCCCCAAGAACGGGUUGAACACGCACGUGCCAGGGCAGACAGGCACCGCUGCUCCUGCCCUGGGGAGACCUACAGGCUGCAAGACCUCCUGGCUGCUCCCAGUCACCUUAGCUGCACUGCAGUCACCUAUUAAUUGCAACAGUUCAGAACUUUUGAGAAUCGGCAUGUUGUCACGCGGGGGUGAUAUGAAUGCUGACGGAAACCUGGUUCUUGAAAAGCACAAAGCUUUACUACAUCAUAGUCUAUCUUAGCUCUUUCUCAGUACCUCAGUAUAAAAAUUAGAGUUUAGGCAAAUCAGGAUGAAAGUCAUAAAACACAGCAUUCAUUUAGAAAACUCAUCCAAAAGAGGAAUGUUACAUGUUUUUCUUUCAACUAUUUUCCCUGGCUUUCUUCUGUUUCAUAUGUUAUAUGAGUAUGGAUUUUACACUUAUAUCCAAAAUAAUACAGCGCUCCUUGGAAUGGAGAUUAAAACUGUGAUUAGGAUUUUUAUUGUCUUGCAUCUGUUAUUAAUAUAGAGGGAGAAGACGGUCAGCACUUGCUGCUCGACCAUCUGCACAGACCUGCAAUGAACAUCCCGGGGAACACAGCUGAGGCUGCUCGGCAUUUGGUUUCAAUGUAUAUGUAAGCUCAAUGCUGCAGACAGAGCAAUAACCACCAAAAAGCAAGCUGGAUCUAAGACUGUAGCUUGGAAAUGUGGCAACUUGUCCCUCAUUACACUGAUAGCACCAGGGAUUUCUCUAAGGUGUUCUCGUGCUUUCGGCUGAAAACCUAAUCGAUGCUUUAAAAAGUCUUAAAGUUUGUUCUUUUGAGAUUUUUUUUUUAUCCAAUUGCCAAAUAGUUUCUAGCUCAGCCUGUGAAACAACAAAUUAAUUCUCCUACGAUCGACUAAUUCAAAUUAAAAAGUGGGUUUUGCAGCUAACCACCCAAACCAGGGAGCCUGGAAAAGCUCCAGCCGUCCAUCCGUUCCUAAGGCACAGCUCCACAGCCCUGAGCCGAGGCAGGCGGAUCUCAGCUGGGCUCCGCGGCAAUAAAUAAGGCAUGAGGAAGGGAGAUCAGUGCUAACCGAAUAGUGAUCGUCACUAAAAAUAUCCACAUCGUCGUCACUCACAGCAGUCGCUUUGUCAUUUUCUUGCUGGAAAAUGAGUUCUUAAUUCCCACCGGUGACCUACAGCGCGUGUGCAGCUUUGGUGACCCUUCGCAGCCCUGCUCCUCCGUGUGCUCUUCGAUGGCCACUUUGAAACGCCCAGUCGCAGCCUUUUGCAAUCCAUUCAGAGAAAUUUCCAGUUCGGAGCCUUCUCUGGUUUCACCGGAGGGAAUCUGCCCUAAUUCCAGGCUCCCCGUCCAGGACGGGCACUGCAGCAAGCCCCUUCUGUUUCGGGUACACCACCGAGCAAAUCGGUGUGCAACUUUUCCCUCUUUUUUGCUGGAAUAGAAAACGUUCAGCUGCGUGGCUUCCGCUUGCACACUUGCCUGUCUGCAGCGUAUUUUAGCGGUGGGCACGUGCACGUGCGGGCUGCAAGCGCCCGGGACCCUCCAUGGCCAAAAAUCAGCAGUGCGGCGAGCGGUGAAGCUGCAGGGGCUGGCGGCUGCCUCGCCUCGCUCGCGGGGGUCCCAGCCACCAGCAGCCGCGGCUCCGGCAGAUCUGACCCUCUCCGAGGACGCAGGACAUGAACAGUGCUGAUAUUCCCUCAAGCAGGGGGUUUCUUUUGCCCUCCCUUGCACGGAGGGUCUCUUGCAAACCUCUUUACUGCUUCUUCUCUAGGCUUUUGUUGCUUUCUCCAGGUAUUUUUCCCCUUUUCUUACAGACUCAUACAGUCUAACACAAAUAUCUGGAAAGUGGAGCUGGGGUAAAGGCAUCCUAUUGCAGAAUCCCUUGGUGGAAAGCGAAACAGCCUCUUUUAAAAAAAUACGCUGCUUCGCUGCAUUUGGACUCCCAGUCGACUCCCUGCGCGGGAAACCAGCCUCCUGCGGUCACUCGAUGGAUAGCUUGAUUUAAUUCUUACAGUACCCUCUAGGCCGUGCUCAACUUUAUGCAUUUUUCCUGCCAUAUUUUAAUACUUGAGCAAUUUCAGCUAUCUUAAAAGCUCAAAACAGGAAUAAAGUUCACAGAAACUACUGAACGGUAAUCUCUUUUCCUAAGGAGUACCGCCUACCCCGACAGAAACGCACCCUCUCUCCACUUAAAUAUGUGUUUACUAGAAACCAGAAUAACCCGGAGCAGUUUGCACACAGUAGCUAUUCCAUAAAUCACAGUGCCAUAUGUCUCUUUACAUAAUUUGCUUUUAGCUCAUGCUCUCAAUCUUUCAAACAGUAAAAAAAAACCCGGUUUUAUCUGGAUAACAGCAGGAGAAGAGGCAAAGGGAUUUAUAGAGACAAGAAGUUUAGCCGGAUCUUCCUCAAGUCGGCCCAUUAAAUUGCUCUCAUAAAUCUCGGGAGCAUUAGCGUCGGAUACUAAAAACUGAAAUUCCUAAUCUUCCCUGGUUUGCUAUAGCCUUAAUGCUUUAAUCCCUCUUGUUUUCCCUCCCGGAUAGUUCUCUUGUGAUCCCAUUGUUGCCUGAUUCAAAAUAGUUCAAAAUAAUCAAUCUGCCAGGGAAUGAGGAGAAAAAAGGUCCUAGUGAGAAGUAAUUUCAGAAAACGAGAUUACACUUCAGAAGAUUUCACACAUUUUUUACAGAAACGACAGUCCCACAUUUUGGAGAAAUUGCAAAUGGAUUUACCUUCUGUCACUAUAAAUUGGCGUUGUUUCUCUGCAACACGUGGUAAUUUCCCAUUAUUAUGAAAACAGAGCAAGGCAAUGCCGAAAAAUAACACACUAUAUAGCCAGAUGUUCGCACUUUUGAUUUAAAGUAUUUUUGCCAAUGUAGCUAUUUCACUCAGCCCAAACAUUGAAAAAUACUCGUUUAAUUUUGCACUCAGGCCCGGGGCAGACGCCCCAGAGCAGCGCGGGAAAACCAAGCAGAAGCGCUCGUCGCGCGGGAAACGGCAACCGUGCCGAUGCUGCAGCACCAGGAACAUCUGGCACCAGGGAAACCCUCAGGGCAAGGACUGCUUCAAGAAUAAUUCAUGACAAGAGGCUUUUUAUGGCUGUUUUUAAACAUGAAACAUAAAUUAAAACAGCCUAAUUUUUCAGAGGCAAGUUGACUUUUCCACCUUUAGUACUAUAGGCUCGCGAGACACAUUUACCAGCGUUCACACAGAGCAAAAGACACCUAUUCAUGCCUGUAUCCAAAGGAUCGGCAGCGUUAUUCUGCAUCCCUUUUCAACACCUGCUGCUCAGACGAGCCUCGCUUGCCAAGCCCCCGAGAUUCGGGUGACUCACGGCCCGUCCUUAGAGCUUAUCGGCAGGUCUGAUUUGCGCUUACUGCCGUGUUUUACCAUCAAGUGGGAAAAGUCAAGUACUUGCAAGGAAAAUUCAGCCAGAACUUUUCUCCAAGUCCAAGUCACUUGAGCACGGGGAUGCCAUCAGAAGCGACCACGAGGUCUUCUGCGCUCAACCGACGCUUUUAGGAGGAAUCUGAAGCUCGUUCCCUCCAGUCCCUUCGCAUCCCUGAUGAUGCCGGGGGAAGACGCAAAGCGACCUUGCCUGGACUAACGCUGUCGGAGCUCCGGGGCUCCGUGAGCAGCAGUGUGACUGCGUGGACACGUCUGCUGAGGACAUCGCUGCUGGGAAGGCGUUUUUUGAGGAGGGUGGAGGACAAGGUGGGGGCGAGACCUGUUCUGGUUCCAGCUGGCUCAGACCCUGCUGCUGCCGCGGUACCAGGACCAGCCCGGCUCGCCUGCACGCUGACCACCUUCUUUGCUAAGGGGAGAUGACCGAGGGCUGAUGCUGGUGCUCAGCGCCUGGAUUCACCCGCUCUGGCCAGCAGACAGGUGAAGAAGAACCGAGUCAGGCCCUUGGCAGGUGCCAACCGCGUGCGACCCGCGGCUUCCUGGCAGAGGGCAUCUUCCCAGCUCGUGGUCACGAAAACCGGCAGCCGGCACAGACGACCUGCCUGAAGCAGCCCGGCGAGUCGCUGACAGCAGCCGGCAUUACAUUACCCAGACGCUGAUGAUGAAUUAAAAUUGAUUUUCUCCAAAUUGCUGAGCUUGCAAAAAAAUGCCUUUUGAAGGAAAUAACCUGCCAGUCUUGACGGAGACGCCGGGGCUCGGACGCGGCACGGCCACGUCCACCAGAUCCCGGCCACCCUCCGCCUCCCUCUCUCAUUGCAGCAGGGCAGAGGCAGGAGUUUUGGGUGGGAAACGAAUGAUUUCCCGUCCUCUCCCCGCUCCGUUUUAUACUGCCGGUGCCCAGAACGAACCGAACACCAGGGGAAACUUUUGCUGUGCAAGCCGAGCAUACGUGAUAGACCGCUUACUGCCAGCUCCUCCGUAGUGCGUAAGCCAAAGCUGACACGGUUUGUCUUCAGCUAUUUGCCUUGCACUUAGACAUGUGUGUUUAGGAGCUGGUGGUUUUCUUUUUGGUGCUUCCAAUUGCAGCUUAAGAUAUUUAAAUUUGCCUUUUCUCUUUACAAAAACUAAGGAAACAACAAAAACAAAUUACUAAAUUGCUUAGGAAAGGGUCUUUAACAAAAAAAGAAGGGUGCUAUGUCUACAGUGAGUUAGGGCAGGAAAGAGUUUUAAUUCACCCCAUCACCCAGUGCCAUCAACACUGUCUAAGGCGCCUGGGAGAAGGUACAAUCCUUAAAUGUCCAAGCUUUCCAGAAACGGAGGCCCUGGGACGCAUUGCAGA